rnacentral:rRNA from 1 species
AUUGAACGCUGGCGGCAGGCCUAACACAUGCAAGUCGAACGAGUGGCGGACGGGUGAGUAAUGUCUGGGAAACUGCCUGAUGGAGGGGGAUAACUACUGGAAACGGUAGCUAAUACCGCAUACCAUCAGAUGUGCCCAGAUGGGAUUAGCUAGUUGGUGGGGUAACGGCUCACCAAGGCGACGAUCCCUAGCUGGUCUGAGAGGAUGACCGGCCCCACUGGACUUGGGCCAGGUUCAGGCUUCCUCCGGGGGGCAGCGGUGGGAAUAAUGCCCCAUUGGGCCCAAGCUGAAGGCGGCCAUGCGGCGUGUAUGAAGAAGCCUUCCGGGUUUAAAGGUACUUUCGGCGGGAAGCGUUACCCGCAGAAGAAGCACCGGCUAACUCCGUGCCAGCAGCCGCGGUAAUUC